GGCAGCAGCUAAGAAUAUUCCGCAAUGGACGAAAGUCUGACGGAGCGACGCCGCGUGGAUGAUGAAGGCCGGAAGGUUGUAAAAUCCUUUUAUGACUGAGGAAUAAGUUUUCUGAGAGAAACGGAAGAUGGUGACUGUAGGUCAUGAAUAAGCAACGGCUAAUUACGUGCCAGCAGCCGCGGUAACACGUAAGUUGCGAGCGUUGUUCGGAAUUAUUGGGCGUAAAGGGUAUGUAGGCGGUUCUGCAAGUCUGGUGUGAAAUGCCGGGGCUCAACCCCGGAACUGCGUUGGAAACUGCAGGACUUGAAUCGCUGAGGGGCAGCCAGAAUUCCAGGUGUAGGGGUGAAAUCUGUAGAUAUCUGGAAGAAUACCAAUGGCGAAGGCAGGCUGCCAGCAGAUGAUUGACGCUGAGGUACGAAGGUGCGGGGAGCAAACAGGAUUAGAUACCCUGGUAGUCCGCACAGUCAACUAUGUACACUGGGUGUCCGUUCAUGAGAAUGGGUGCCGAAGCAAACGCGAUAAGUGUACCGCCUGGGGAGUAUGCCCGCAAGGGUGAAACUCAAAGGAAUUGACGG
rnacentral:rRNA from 1 species